rnacentral:rRNA from 1 species
CAGAACGAACGCUGGCGGCGAUGGAUUAGGCAUGCAAGUCGAACGGGAGCAGCAAUGCUCCAGUGGCGCAAGGGUGAGGAACACGUGAACAACCUGCCUUCGAGUUGGGGAUAGCUUCUGGAAACGGGAGAUAAUACCGAAUAACAUCAUACUAUCGCAUGGUGGUAUGAUCAAAGCAGCAAUGCGCUUGAAGAGGGGUUCGCGUCCCAUUAGCUAGUUGGUGAGGUAGCGGCCCACCAAGGCGAUGAUGGGUAGCUGGUCUGAGAGGACGACCAGCCACAUUGGGACUGAGAUACUGCCCAGACUCCUACGGGAGGCUGCAGUCGAGAAUUUUGGGCAAUGGACGAAAGUCUGACCCAACGCAAUGCCGCGUGCGGGAUGAAGGUCUUCGGAUUGUAAACCGCUGUCAAGAGGGACGAAAUAUGACGGUACCUCUGGAGGGAAGCCACGGCUAACUACGUGCCAGCAGCCGC